AGGCAGCAGUGGGGAAUUUUGCGCAAUGGGCGAAAGCCUGACGCAGCAACGCCGCGUGAGUGAUGAAGGCCCUCGGGUCGUAAAGCUCUGUCAGAGGGGAAGAAACUUUUGGGGGAGAAUAUCCCUUGAAACUGACGGUACCCUCAAAGGAAGCACCGGCUAACUCC
rnacentral:rRNA from 1 species